rnacentral:rRNA from 1 species
UACAGAGGGGGCAAGCGUUAUUCGGAAUUAUUGGGCGUAAAGGGCGCGUAGGCGGCUUUGCAAGUGACGGGUGAAAUCCCUCGGCUUAACCGAGGAACUGCCUGUCAGACUGCAUGGCUUGAGACCGGGAGAGGUGAGUGGAAUUCCCAGUGUAGCGGUGAAAUGCGUAGAUAUUGGGAGGAACACCAGUGGCGAAGGCGGCUCACUGGACCGGUACUGACGCUGAGGCGCGAAAGCCAGGGGAGCGAACGGG